AAGGAAGGAAGGAAGGAAGGAAGGAAGGAAGGAAGGAAGGAAGGAAGGAAGGAAGGUUGGUUUUCUUCGAUGGAGCCAGAAAAAAGGUGAAAGCUCAGAGGAGCCUGUGCCACAUGAUCCAGGAUUGAAGAGAAUUUAACUUUGUCCUCAAACAACAGAAAAUACAAUCAGCACAAAACUAUGCAGUAGAGACCUGAUCUUCCCUGCAGCCUCAUUUACCUUCACUGAUGCCAUAAUUCCCACUUGGUAAUCUACUGAGGUACAUGCCUAACUUACUCCUGAUAAAUACCAGCGGAGUCUGCGUCAGGUCCUGCACUCCUACUGCUGCAGAGCACAGUGCUGAAGAUCAGGAGUAACACAGAUGGACAUACAGCACUGCUAAGGAGAGGGAACUAUAUACGUAAUCCAAAUCCUACAGUUCUAUAAGGCUCCAGCUCUUGAAACAAAUACGAGGAGGUUAAAAACACCCAUCUUCUCAAACUCAGUUUAUUUUAAUCCUGCUAGAGUUAACAUUUUUGUUCUACAGCUUACUACGCGUACCAUUUCAAACUGCUCAUCAAAACACUGUCAUGGAUUUCCUGACCUCAGUGAAUUGUCCAAAAAAGUCCUUCCUGCCAAUUCUCAGCUGCUUGCUAUUGUGCAGGCUCCCGCAAAGGCUAAGAAAUGGACAUGUAACAUUACUGCAAUCAAAGAGGAAGAAAUCUCCCUUGCUAACAGUGUGCUGCCAUAGUGCACUUAACACCUCUCAACAAUAAAGUACUUAGAAGAAUGCUAGAACGAUUGGGGGUUUUUUCCUGUUAAAAAGGCCUCCUAAAUCUAGGCAUCAUUUGAGGAUGACAUUCUGAGGCUUGCCUGCCUAAGAUCAAAGUUCCUCUCUCUGCAUUACUCCUUUUCCAAAAUGUCAGCUCUGGCUCAGACUGUUGGCAAGCAUUUUCUAGAAUUGAGGCCUAGGUGACUUAAUCAGGGAUAUACAGUAAAGUCACACAGAGCACUGCCAGUCUUUUAACCCCUAGGUUAGACCUGUUCCACUUCAACAUCAUUGUCCUAGGAACCAAAGGGCAUACAGAAACAUAAACGUAUAGGAAACAAUUUUUUUUACUAACAAAAAAUUUGGCAUUUUAAACAUGAAUAAAACUUACUCUCACUUUAUUCUCAGAUCUGCAGCAGUCUACCAAUGAAUAUUUAUUAUGCUACCAAUUUUGAUAUUUGACAACAAUCUCUUUUGAGAACUGCUGCACAUUGCUUUGAGGCAAGAAGUUCUGAUUGGAGGGCCUUUCAAGGCUUUGUCUAAAAAGAAUUAAAAAGCAGUUCUGCUACUAAAAUUUCACAAGAAUUAAGAGCCAAAACUCAUUUCAGUGAACAAAUAAAUGAUUCCAAGAAAGAGGAGAGAUCAAAAUUACCAUGUUUUUUAUCUACUUCCUUACAUUUGCACAGCAGCCUACAGGGACCCACUUUGCAAGACACGACUUACUUUCCAUCUCAUCUCAUUUUCUUCUGAUGUGAAUUUUUUUCUCUGCCUGGGGAGUGUUCAGCACUCUGCAAAAGGCUCUGUAACAUCUGCUGUAGCUCAUUAUAAUUACAUUUCCUUGUGCUGAUAUUUUAGGUCUAAUUCUUUAGGUUUGGACUGAAAUCUGGAGGUCAGUUCUUGCCAUUUUUAAUUAUUUCCUUUCACAAAAUAUAAAGGAAGACAUGUCCCUCUGAUUUUAUCAUUACUGACAAAUCUUUCCUCAGCCCUUUCUUUGUUCUUAAUAUUUUGCACAUUCUUAAAUGAGCCUGAAUCAUUUGCGCUGGCAUGCUUGCACAAACACACACACAUACCCCCACACGGACACCUCACAGAUAAGAUCUCUCUUUUUAAAUCUUAGCUUCAGACAUUUUAAGCUACACUU